UAUUUUUGUUUAUUUUUUGAGACAGAGUCUUGCUCUGUUGCCCAGGCUGGAGUGCAGUAACACGAUUUUGGCUCACUGCAACCUCCAUCUUCCAGGUUCAAGUGGUUCUCCUGUUUCAGCCUCCAGACCAGCUGGGAUUACAGGUGCGUGUCACCACGCCUGGCUAAUUUUUGUAUUUUUAGUAGAAAUGGGGUUUCACCAUAUUGGCCAGGCUGGUCUCAAACUCCUGACCUCAGGUGAUCCUCCCACCUUGGCCUUCCAAAGUGUUGGGAUUACAGGUGUGAGCCACCACGUCUGGCCUAUAUUUUAAUUAUUUAAUGAUACUUUUCCUGUUUUUUGAACAAGGGACCCCACAUUUUCAUUCUGCACUUGGUCCAGCAAAUUAAACAGCUGGCUUUAGUUAUAGUAUCAGAUAAAAUUAUUAAAUUAUGACCAAUCCAUUGCCUCUUUUGAACCAAACCUCAAAUCACGAUGUAAAAGACUAGAUAAUUCAAUAACAAAGCAAACAAAAACUCCUGCUUGGAAUUCUGGCUUUGGUGAAAUCAACGAAUUAACACAACCUCCUUCCACCACACGCAACAAUCCAGGGAUCAUAGAAAAUCAAAGGUAAUCCGCACAAAAUGUAGGAAAGAGGUUUUUAACACCCAGUCAGUCCUAGCAGUUCUCCCAGUGUCUAAGUCUACACCUAAAGGGUUUCCUGGGAGGGAAAAACUGCAGAUAGUGCAAGUGGCACAAUUGAUACAUUUUUUAGUGCAAAUCUCUGUAUGACACAAGCAGCCCCAGACUCUGGCAAUGACUUACUGCUUAUGUGCACCUGUCAUCUUUGGCACCUGAGAGACGAGAGAUAACUUCUAAUGUUUGAUGGAAAUUUUAAGGUUUGAAAAAUAAAGCACUUUCCUAUACAGUCUUAUUUUAUUCCUACCAUAGCCAAGUGAGGAACUCAGGAAAAGUAUUUUUCAAUAAAAUUUUUAUUGUUAGUAUUCCAGUGAUAAAAAGUAAUGCUGCUUUUAUGUGAUUGAUCUGGGUAGUAGCUACAUGGGUAUUCACUUUAUACUCAUUCAUUAAACUGUAUAUAUGUGUUUUGUGUACUUUUGUGUAUGAUAUAGUCUGCAAAAAAAAAGAACAAAAGGUAUAAAUGUUCAUUGUAGGAAAUCAGAAAAGGAGGUUUAAAAUCUCCCAUAAUCCCAUCAGAGGAAACUACUAUUAAUUUGACACCUUCCUUUCUUAGUUUUUAUAAAAUUGGAAUUAUCAGCCAGGUGCCAUGGCUCACACCUGUAAUCCCAGUACUGUAGGAGGCCAAGGCGGGUGGAUCACUUGAGGCCAGGAGUUUGAGACUAGCCUGGCCAACAUGGUGAAACCCCAUCUCUACUAAAAAAUACAAAAAUUAGCUGGGCGUGGUGGCCGGCGCCUGUAAUCUCAGCUACUUGGGAGGCUGAGGCACAAGAAUAGCUUGAACCCUGGAAGUGGAAGUUGCAGUGAGCUGAGACUGUGCCAUUGCACUCCAGGCGGGGAGACAGAGUGAGACUCUUUCAAAAAAAAGAAAAAAUUGGAAUCACAUUUUCCACAUUUUGUAUCUUUUUCUUAAACUCAGCAUAUCAUGUUUUCAUACGGCAUUAAAAAUUCAACACUGCUUAAUAAAGAUAAACCUAGUUUUUUUAACCAAUUCCCAACUGUUCGAUGUUUAGGUUGUUUCUAAAUUUAUUUCCGAAAGGACCAGAGGGCCUUUAUUUCUAUUUCACAGAAAGUAACAUCGUGUGGAGGCAUGCCCUUGCUGCUGGUGUGCGGCAGAGCCAGGAGGAGACAUGCCUCCCUGCACUUGGAGGCCUCAUUCCCCUCCACACGCUGCUUUGCACUUCCUCUGAUCACACGGGUUUAACUUGACAGAUUAAAGGGAAAAACUGUGAAAGACAAUCUACCCCUGACCCUUUCCCAUGAACUCUCUGCAAUCCUAAAUAGAGGAAUGGUCGACCAAGUUCAAGGUUAAGAUCAGGAAGCACAAGCUUCUCUGGUACCUGGCCUGCAGAUGAAGGGGUACCAGUGCUGUCCGUGUGAGGUAUACUGCUGGGCCCAAAUAGUUACUUGGGAGGCCAGGGAAAGAGAAUAAACUUUUCAAAAGUACAGAGUUGCAGGGUUCGAGGUUAGUAGAGAGGUUUUAUAAAUAUUUACUGAACAAAACUCUGCCUGUUAACUGGCUGACACAGAGCAAGGUGUGGUUUUCCUUCCCACCCCCAGAGGUGGCUGGGAAAGUUGGUCUGACAAACCAGUGGGAAAUGCUGCCCAGCCAAGAUGGAACCAAGAGACGGCAAGAAUGCCUAAGAUGAUUCAGGAAAUGAGUCCAACCGUCUUCUGUCUGUCCUCUUCCCUCAGCCCCCACAACUCCCACUUCUAUUCACUGAAGCAGGAAACCAUAGAGAAGACACUCACAAACAAAACACUGGCUGCUGCAAUGAGCGCCUGCAGUAGCUGGCCAAACAAACAGCUCUGGUCACAGUGCACAGCAUAGCUGCUGCCCAACAGGUUGAAAUAUCACUCGCACCAUUUCGUAUUGUGAAUGCCACUGGGUGGCAAUAAAAAUAAUGAGCUGUGGGAAGGUUGUACAUAAGAAAAAAAAAAAAAGUCCUAACCUUCCUCUGGUUUGGUGGGUGGUCUGAAAGUUUUCUUCUUGGCAAGGUCAUGUCCACUUUUUCACACUCCUUGCUAACUGAAGUAGCCAAGAACCUAGGUUUGGGAAGACAACCUUUCUUCAGAUAAAACCACAAGUAAACCAGACCAGACUUAAGAGAAUCUACCUUAUUAUAAGGACCCCAGAGAUAGUAAUUCCAAAAGCUACUGAAAAGAAACAAAAAUGUUUAGUUACUGUUUACUGGAAAAUCUCCCCAACACAUAUAUACAAAUUCAAUUCUAAUCCCUGAUUUUAAAAAUAAGCCUGUUAUACAGUCUGCCUGGCUUGACAAAUUUGACUUGGGGGCACCUUGAGUGGGCGGAGGGCAAUCAAAGUGAUAGGAAGUGAUGUCCCAGCGCCACUAAAGCCAAGACACCACCUAACUGCUCACAGCGACCAUGGACAUAAAAGCAGCUGGUUCCAAACAGCAGCAUUCUCAAGGGCAGGGGCUCCCAGUGGCAGGGCAAUUCACGUGAGCAACUCCAUGUUCUCCCAGUAAAAGCAGGGACGGAUCUACUUAACGAUUAUUUUCCUAUGAGCAAAACCGUGGAGGCCACCAUCCUAAUUCAGAAGGACUGGCCUUUCUAUCACUGGAACACGGGUCCAAACUGAAUGUCUCUCGCUUCUGGAUCAAAAAAGCCAGCUCUCACUAACAGGUUCAGAGGCAGAAGGAAAUCGGCUGUGAGUCUCAGAUGAGAUUUCGGACUUUGAGUUGAUGCUAGAACAAGCGUUUUGGAGACUAUUGGGAAGGGAUGAUUGUAUUUUGCAAUGUGAGAAGGACAUGAGAUUGGAGGGGCCAGAGACAGAAUGACAUGGUUUGGAUGAUGGCCCCUCCAAAUCUCAUGUUGAAAUGUGAUCCUCAUUGCUGGAAAUGGAACCUGGUAGGAAGUACUAGAUCAUGGAGGUGGAUCCUUCAUGAAUGGCUUAGUGCCAUACCCUUACUGAAGAGUGAGUUCUCAUAUGGUUUAUGCAAGAUCUGGUUGUUUAAGGGAGUCUGGGACCUCCCCCUUCUCACUCUUGCUCAUGCUCUUGCCAUAUGACACGCCUGCUCUCCCUUCACCUUCUGCCAUCAUUGGAAGCUUCCUGAAGCCUCACCAGAAGCCAGGCAGAUGCUAGCACCACACUUCCUGUAUGGCCUGCAGAACCGUGAGCCAAUUAAACCUCAUUUCCUUAUAAAUUA